CUCAUAAAUCCCACAAUCCAAUCGAAUAAUAGUCUCCGCCCGUCUUCUCGAGACCCAGCGAUGGCAACGGCGACCCGGAUGCUGGCUCGCCGCGCCGCCCCCGGCCUCCUCCGCUCCGCCACCACCCCCGGCCUCCUACGCUCCGCCGCCGCCGCCACAGGCCCCAACCCCGCCCUCGCGCUGCCGGCGCUGCUGCAGACGCAAGGAGGAGGACGGCGCUGGUACCGCGCAGCAAGAGGGGACCCGUCGCCCUCGUUCUACGAGCCGCCGCCGACCCCGGCCAACCUCGGCCUCAGCAUCGUCCCGGAGAAGAAGGCGUUUGUGGUGGAGCGCUUCGGCAAGUACCUCAAGACCCUGUCGUCGGGGAUCCACCUCCUCAUGCCGGGCGUCGACCAAAUCGCCUACGUCCACUCGCUCAAGGAGGAGGCCAUCCCCAUCCCGGACAACUCGGCAAUCACCAAGGACAACGUCUCGAUACAGAUCGGAGGAGUGCUAUACGUCAAGAUUGUCGACCCCUACAUGGCCUCGUACGGCGUGGAGAACCCCAUCUAUGCUGUCAUCCAACUUGCGCAGACGACCAUGAGGAGUGAACUUGGCAAGAUUACCCUCGACAAGACCUUCGAGGAGAGGGACACGCUCAACACCAACAUUGUGAAGUCAAUCAAUGAGGCAGCCGAAACUUGGGGUUUGAAGUGUCUUCGUUACGAAAUCAGGGACAUCACUCCUCCAGAUGGAGUCAAGAAGGCCAUGGAGAUGCAGGCCGCAGCAGAGCGCAAGAAACGUGCUCAGAUCCUCGAGUCUGAAGGUGCUAUGAUGGAAAACGCAAACAAAGCAAAGGGUGAAGCUGAAGCAAUUCUUGCCCGGUCACAGGCCACUGCUGAAGGGAUCAGGAUGGUCUCAGAGUCGUUUAAAACUGAAGGCAGCACAGAGGCUGCCAGCUUGAGGAUUGCUGAACAGUACUCCCUCUGUAAACUAAUAUAAGAGCAUUUAGAACACUAAAAUAGUGAUCUAAACGCUCUUAUAUUAAUUUACGGAGGGAGUACAUCAGAGCAUUCAGUGAACUGGCUAGAACUACAAACACAAUGCUUCUUCCCAGCGACGCAGGCAAUCCGGGAACAAUGAUUGCUCAGGCUCUCCAGAUAUACAACCACACGUACAAGCAGAAACUGACUCUGGGAAGCCCCAGCCCCAGCCCCAGCCCCAGCAGGCGGGCAGAAGAGGCUGAUUUGUCCCUUGGGAUGCCAUCCGUGAGCGACCUCGGCACCUUUCAGCACCAGAAGUAAAGUAUUGAGUGGGGAAUCUUUUUUUUUCUAUUCUGUUAGGGAGGGAUGAAUAGCUAGACUGGAUAGAUAGAUUGCUAGGAAGGAUCGCGAGUGAAGUUUUUCUGAUUCGGUCAGAUAGAACACAAUACAUGGUCGGUUAGGAGCAGCUUGAGAGCAAGCUUUUUGUCUGUCUAUAUGAACGGGUGAUGUUAUUACAUGAGAUUUUUUAGGUUUAUAUCAACCGGUUUUGGUGCAACAAUA